GAUGAACGCUGGCGGCGUGCCUAAUACAUGCAAGUCGGGCGAACGGACGAGAAGCUUGCUUCUCUGAUGUUAGCGGCGGACGGGUGAGUAACACGUGGAUAACCUACCUAUAAGACUGGGAUAACUUCGGGAAGCCGGAGCUAAUACCGGAUGAUAUUUUGAACCGCAUGGUUCAAAAGUGAAAGACGGUCUUGCUGUCACUUAUAGAUGGAUCCGCGCUGCAUUAGCUAGUUGGUAAGGUAACGGCUUACCAAGGCAACGAUGCAUAGCCGACCUGAGAGGGUGAUCGGCCACACUGGAACUGAGACACGGUCCAGACUCCUACGGGAGGCAGCAGUAGGGAAUCUUCCGCAAUGGGCGAAAGCCUGACGGAGCAACGCCGCGUGAGUGAUGAAGGUCUUCGGAUCGUAAAACUCUGUUAUUAGGGAAGAACAUAUGUGUAAGUAACUGUGCACAUCUUGACGGUACCUAAUCAGAAAGCCACGGCUAACUACGUG
rnacentral:rRNA from 1 species